rnacentral:lncRNA from 1 species
UAAUAGUAAAAUUAACUAACCAAGAUUUGUUUGAUUUUUUCUUUUAAUAAUAAUAACAGUACCUAAUGUUACUAAUAAUAUCAAAAUAUAAUAAUAAUAGUUAUAAUAGUAAAUAAAUAAAUAAAAAGAAGAAGAAUAGAAAAUGAACUAAAAUAAGAAAAAUGAGAAGAAAUAAAAAUUAAUAAAAUGUCCCAACAUAAUUCAAACCUAGGACCCUAUGUUUGCCACUCUUCAUACUUAAACUCUC